rnacentral:rRNA from 1 species
AUCCAUGUGCUCAACGCAUGGGCUGCCGAAAAUACUGCAUAGCUAGGGAGUGGGAGAGGUAGACGGUACUCGGUAGGAAGGGGUAAAAUCCUUUGAUCUAUCGAUGACCACCUGUGGCGAAGGCGGUCUACCAGAACACGUUCGACGGUGAGGGAUGAAAGCUGGGGGAGCAAACCGGAUUAGAUACCCGGGUAGUCCCAGCUGUAAACGAUGCAGACUCGAUGAUGCAUUGGCAUAUAGCCAGUGCAGUGUCGCAGGGAAGCCGUUAAGUCUGCCGCCUGGGAAGUACGUACGCAAGUAUGAAACUUAAAGGAAUUGGCGGGGGAGCACCACAAGGGGUGAAGCCUGCGGUUCAAUUGGAGUCAACGCCAGAAAUCUUACCCGGAGAGACAGCAGAAUGAAGGUCAAGCUGAAGACUUUACCAGACAAGCUGAGAGGUGGUGCAUGGCCGUCGCCAGCUCGUGCCGUGAGAUGUCCUGUUAAGUCAGGUAACGAGCGAGAUCCUCGCCACUAGUUGCUAUCAUUAUUCUCAGGAAUAGUGGGGCGAAUUAGUGGGACUGCCGUUGUUAAAACGGAGGAAGGAGGGGGCUACGGCAGGUCAGUAUG